GAUGAACGCUGGCGGCGUGCUUAACACAUGCAAGUCGAACGAUGAUCCCAGCUUGCUGGGGGAUUAGUGGCGAACGGGUGAGUAACACGUGAGUAACCUGCCCUUGACUCUGGGAUAAGCCUGGGAAACUGGGUCUAAUACCGGAUACGACCAUCUGGCGCAUGUCAUGGUGGUGGAAAGCUUUUGUGGUUUUGGAUGGA
rnacentral:rRNA from 1 species